GGUAAAUAAUUAACAAAGCUCUGGGUCACAAAGCUCGCAGUCUCUCCCAGGCCCUUGCCAGUUGUGGAAUUUCCAUGUCUACAUUACUUGAAUUGCCUCAAGUUCCAGGUACCAUGCUAGCCCUGUCUAGCCUUUGACUGUCAUCUGGCUUGACAAAGGGGCGUGCAGCUACGGCGAUGCAGACGAAAAGCAGGGGAGUGGUGUGAGGAAAGAUAUGGCUGGCCGUGAACGUACUAAAUACACACAGAGGCACUGAGGUUGAGUCCAGCAGUUGGUUAUUGUGAACAACGGUGCGGUGAACACAGAGGAGGAGUGGAUGGUUUCAUCUCCAUUGGAAUCCAGACGCAGCAGGGUCAAUUUGCUUCCUAGCUAAGCUGGUCCAUCUUCUCUGAAUGACUUUCAGUAGGUGCUCAUUGUAACUUCUGAGCCAGAAAAGAAGAGAUAGAAACAAAACACGGAGCAGGAAGAAAUAGCCCCAGAGGGGCCGCCAGGUGCACUGCUUGGGUGGGGCUGUGUCUCUAGAGGGAGGAAGGAAUUGUUGUGACGAUGAAACGCGCCCCAGCCCUGCCUCACACCAGUGAGAAUGGCUAAGAUCAAAAAUUCAGGUGACAGCAGAUGCUGGCGAGGAUGUGGAGAAAGAGG